rnacentral:rRNA from 1 species
GAUGAACGCUAGCGGCAGGCUUAAUACAUGCAAGUCGGACGGGAUUGGGGCUUCGGCCCCAUGAGAGUGGCGCACGGGUGCGUAACACGUAUGUAACCUACCUUUAUCUGGGGGAUAGCCUCUCGAAAGAGAGAUUAACACCGCAUAAAAUCACAGCACGGCAUUGUGCAAUGAUCAAAUAUUUAUAGGAUAAAGAUGGGCAUGCGGAACAUUAGCUAGUUGGCGGGUAACGCCACAGCUACGAUGUUAGGGAUCUGAGAGGAUCGACCCCCACACUGGUACUGAGACACGGACCAGACUCC